CAAUAGCGUAUAUUAAAGUUGUUGCAGUUAAAAAGCUCGUAGUUGGAUUUCUGCUGAGGACGAUCGGUCCGCCCACUGGGUGAGUAUCUGGCUCGGCCUUGGCAUCUUCUUGGAGAACGUUGCUGCACUUGACUGUGUGGCGCGGUAUCCAGGACUUUUACUUUGAGGAAAUUAGAGUGUUUCAAGCAGGCGCACGCCUUGAAUACAUUAGCAUGGAAUAAUGAGAUAGGACCUUGGUUCUAUUUUGUUGGUUUCUAGAGCUGAGGUAAUGAUUAAUAGGGAUAGUUGGGGGCAUUCGUAUUUAACUGUCAGAGGUGAAAUUCUUGGAAUUGUUAAAGACGGACUACUGCGAAAGCAUUUGCCAAGGAUGUUUUCAUUGA
rnacentral:rRNA from 1 species